rnacentral:rRNA from 1 species
GAUGAACGCUGGCGGCGUGCUUAACACAUGCAAGUCGAACGGUGAAGGAAGAGCUUGCUCUUCUGGAUCAGUGGCGAACGGGUGAGUAACACGUGAGUAACCUGCCCUUGACUCUGGGAUAAGCGUUGGAAACGACGUCUAAUACCGGAUACGAGCUUCAGCCGCAUGGCUAGGAGUUGGAAAGAAUUUCGGUCAAGGAUGGACUCGCGGCCUAUCAGGUUGUUGGUGAGGUAAUGGCUCACCAAGCCUACGACGGGUAGCCGGCCUGAGAGGGUGACCGGCCACACUGGGACUGAGACACGGCCCAGACUCCUACGGGAGGCAGCAGUGGGGAAUAUUGCACAAUGGGCGAAAGCCUGAUGCAGCAACGCCGCGUGAGGGACGACGGCCUUCGGGUUGUAAACCUCUUUUAGCAGGGAAGAAGCGAAAGUGACGGUACCUGCAGAAAAAGCACCGGCUAACUACGUGCCAGCAGCCGCCGUAA